rnacentral:rRNA from 1 species
CCUACGGGAGGCUGCAGUGGGGAAUAUUGCACAAUGGGCGCAAGCCUGAUGCAGCCAUGCCGCGUGUGUGAAGAAGGCCUUCGGGUUGUAAAGCACUUUCAGCGGGGAGGAAGGCGGUGAGGUUAAUAACCUCAUCGAUUGACGUUACCCGCAGAAGAAGCACCGGCUAACUCCGUGCCAGCAGCCGCGGUAAUACGGAGGGUGCAAGCGUUAAUCGGAAUUACUGGGCGUAAAGCGCACGCAGGCGGUCUGUCAAGUCGGAUGUGAAAUCCCCGGGCUCAACCUGGGAACUGCAUUCGAAACUGGCAGGCUAGAGUCUUGUAGAGGGGGGUAGAAUUCCAGGUGUAGCGGUGAAAUGCGUAGAGAUCUGGAGGAAUACCGGUGGCGAAGGCGGCCCCCUGGACAAAGGCUGACGCUCAGGUGCGAAAGCGUGGGGAGCAAACAGGAUUAGAUACCCGUGUAGUC